AUUCCGCACGCUCUUCAUUCCACCCAUUCAUUAUCUCUUCUCUUCUCUGCCAACCUUACUCACACACACAAGUGCACAACAACACACAUAUCUCUCUGAUUCUGAUUUUGAUUUUAAUCCAUCAUCGCACAACCGUCAAUCAUCAUCAGCGCCUUUGAAUUCUGACCGUCGCUACCCGUCUCCCAACUCCGAUCAUCACCACCAACGCCAUGAAUUCUGAAAAAUAUCACAAACCACCGUUUUUAAUCACACGACCACCGUCAUGAAUCCCCAAAACCAUCACCACCGACCCUGUCAAUCACCACCGCUGGCAUCGAUCCCCAACACCGCCGCCGCCAUCACCAUAUUUCAGGGUUUCAUAAAUUUUUGAAAAAUUGAUCUCCUUUGAAACAUAACUUCUGUUAUAUUAUUAUUAUUAUUAUUAUUAUUAUUAUUAUUAUUAUUAUUAUUAUUAUUAUUAUUAUUAUUUUAAAUUCAUUUUUCAAAUUCAUAUGUACCGAUCUUUAUUUUUUGUGUAUGUAUAUGUUCUCUGAUGUGUUGAUGAUGGAAAAAUGAUGACUACCUCAGGAUGAUAAGCCCAUUGUCGUCAAGACUUUGUUGCCCACUUAAAAAGACAAAAAGCUUAUAUGAUUGAAAAGAACAAUGAUGUUUAUGGGUUCACAAAUGGAAGCAUGAUGGAGCUGACUAGAUGAGGACCUCAAUGGCAUUCAUCGGCACAAGAUCAGUAAGGUAUGGGACAUUUACAACAGGUGGUUGUGAUGGAACAGGAGAGGCCAAUGCAGCAAUGUCACUUCUGAUACUCUAUUAGCCUUACCCUUUUAGGCUUUGGCUUCGUUUUCCUGUCGAUAUAUUUUUUCCUAUAGCACAUUGGUCUUUCACUUUUAUGUACAGGUGGAAAAUAAUUGGUGAAGUUAGUGUAAUUGUUUGUGGAUCUACUGGUCCACCUAUGUCUUCAUGUAUAGUUUAAUGUUUUCUUUUACCGUAUAUUCAGGUUCCAGUUUUAGUACUGGUCCAUCUCAUGCGGCAUGCUCAUUUUAUUCAGGUCACUCGAACCGCAGGCCUUGGGUUGGUAGAAAUACUUGAAUGUCAAACCUUUGUCGUCGAAGAUACCAUGUGCUUGAGGUGCUAUGUUGCCUUUUAUUUGCAUGGAUGUAAGAGCCACCGAUGAGUCUAGCCUUUUGUUUGCUGCACCAUUGAAUCCGGCCUUUUCUUUGGAGAAUAUACUUAGAUCAACUGGGAAAUUCUAAGCCUUUCUAGAAUUUAUCUUUUGUUACAUGUAUCUUUUAAACAAUUAAAUUGUUGGAAUUUCUAACUGUCCAUAAUGCAAGUUUGUAGGAAGUGAUUCCUUUACUUGAACAAAAUAAUUACAUAGCCUCUUUGUGUUA